CCUCUAACUUCACUCAACGUGAUCCUAGCUACGAUCUACAUACAAGCCACUCGUUGUACAUUAAUUAUUUAUUGCUUCCGCAACCUUUUGCUUUGUAGGUUGGCACUUCCAUCGCUCCACACGAGCCUAGUUUGGCUUCCGCUAUCAUUCAUUGCAAAAGAUAGAGUCUGCAUGCGAUUAAGGUUCUUAGCAUAAUGAAUUUGAAUAAAAGCGUCCAAAAGACUAUCACAAAAGGAUCUCAAAUCGCACCUGUCUUGAUCUCUUAUCAAUGGGUGUCCUUACCUGAAGAAAAGGAGCUGAAGAUCUUUCACGAUUGGAUGAACUUGGCAAUUGUUUAGACUGCUUCUGCUUCUUUUGAUUGUGCAUUUUCCCAGGAUUACUGCCCCCUUUGUACUUGAAAAACUCAAGAAUGGAUGGACUUCUUCGCUUAGUAACUUUUGAUAUACUGCCCGAACACCCAAAAUCAGGGGUUGAUGCAUCACGUGGAAGAGACUGCUGCCGCAUUCUCUUUUCCCGGAUUCUAUUAAGAAACUCUAUUGUCCAGGGUGAACCUGGUUGUGGAUGGUCAGAAUAAAUUGCUUUAGAAAGAGGUGUUCCACCAUAAGGGGAUACCUCCUCUUUUAACGCCAACUUGAUGGUAUUUCUUACAGAUCCUUGCAUUAAAAUAUCUUCCAACGGCUUUUUUGGGUGCUUUAAAGGCAUGCCAGUAUCAGCGUAGCUGCUAUUUUGAUGUAAACUUUGUCUGUGAACUUUUACAGAGGACAAUAAAUCUGAACCAGGGUUGAUUGCAGCAGCCGUAGGAAAAGUAGGGCGAUUGAUUUUACCAAAUGACAAUCUUCUUGCAGCCGACUUUCUUGUGGAGUCUUGUUCUGUUUCUGGCAGCCAAGUUGAGAAACACAUCGAGUUAGUGAUAGGAGGAACAUCCUUACCGAGAAUAUCAGAGAGGUCAAUAACUUCACCUAAAAAGUCCUCAUGUAGAUUCUCAGAUUGACUCGUUUUAUUCCAGUCCACCUUGUUAUUGAUUUUCCUUUCUGAUCCCUCAUUUUGACCCCACAAUUUAUCAUUCAAAUAUAACCUUGGCUUUUCAACUUCAUCUAAUAUCACAGGACCUUUGGAGUUCUGGGAAUCAUAUGGCUUGGAGAUAGUAGAAGAAUCCACUAUCUGUGCAAUAUCCAAUCCCUGUUUUUGACCAAACAAAUCUUUCAAAAAUGGCCGCGGCCAUUGCAAAUCAUCAAGUUUCUCAGUAUCUCUCGACAUCCAACAAUCACCUCCCCUUAACACUCCGGAAGGACCCUGUACAUCAUCAGGGAACUGGUUUAAGGGUUCAAACUGCCAUGUAUCAUCCAUAUGCAUGCCAAGUUUGGGGGAGAUAUGGAUGCAUUUUAGUGGUUUUGUUUCAGAAGCAACAAUAAAAUCACACUUAUUGGAGUCAGGACCAGAGGAUACAGAAGAAGAGCAGUCUGUCAUUAUGGAUUUAGAAUCCUCCCGUUCACCAUAGCUGCAAAAAGCACUAAAUAGAACGAUACUUUCUUCAGGAACAUGAUAAUGUUGGACUGCAAGGAUCCUUUGCUCAUUUGACCACUCAAAAAACUCAAUAAGCAUGCCUCCUGAAGACAGUAUUGCAUGAGCUGUCAGUGGAUUUACUGAAGGAAAUUUCGUAAGGAAUGAUUCUGCAAGAGUUUCUGAUUCAGGCAUUUUAGGAUAUAUGCCCCUGCACAGCUUAGCAGCAUACAAAAUAUUGCUUAAUAUGAUUUCAUCAGUCAACUCAGAUGAAUAGGAACAGAAAAGCUGCAAAUCAAUUCCCAGGCUUGCAGCUGUUGCAUAGAGUCCAUCUGAGGAUUCCAUUACAGUGGAAAGGAAGUUGAUCUCUCCCUCAAACACCAGAAUGCAGCAGCUGAAAGUGAAACUUAGCAAUGGCAAAACAUUUGUAGCAAUAUUCUCAAUGCAAAAUGGCAAGCAUGAAGAAGCUUCAUAUGCAGUAGUUGCUUUCUUUCUAAUGUUUCUGCAAUGAUACCACACCAAGCAAAUGGCAGAAAUAAUCACAACAUCCACAGGCAGAUCUAAAUCACGUUCCAAAACUUGUAAUCCCUCUUUCUCCAUUGCAAGAAUUUUUUGGUACGUACUUCUUCUGGAUACUAUCAUUUCCUUGUCAAGAUUUUGAGUAUUCACAACAACUAUGGUGUCAGGGAAAGGCAUCAUGCAUGCUCUAGUCUUUUCUGAUUUCAUUGCAUAGGACACAUUAGGAACCUCCAUAGGCAUAUAGCAAGGUUCUACUUUAUCUGCAGCUUCUGAAGUUGUUGCAUAAUGCUUGUUCUCAGUAGGUAGAACAUUAAGCACUUCCUUCA
rnacentral:misc_RNA from 1 species